rnacentral:rRNA from 1 species
GAUGAACGCUGGCGGCGUGCCUAAUACAUGCAAGUCGAGCGAACGGACGAGAAGCUUGCUUCUCUGAUGUUAGCGGCGGACGGGUGAGUAACACGUGGAUAACCUACCUAUAAGACUGGGAUAACUUCGGGAAACCGUAGCUAAUACCGGAUAAUAUUUUGAACCGCAUGGUUCAACAGUGAAAGACGGUCUUGCUGUCACUUAUAGAUGGAUCCGCGCUGCAUUAGCUAGUUGGUAAGGUAACGGCUUACCAAGGCAACGAUGCAUAGCCGACCUGAGAGGGUGAUCGGCCACACUGGAACUGAGACACGGUCCAGACUCCUACGGGAGGCAGCAGUAGGGAAUCUUCCGCAAUGGGCGAAAGCCUGACGGAGCAACGCCGCGUGAGUGAUGAAGGUCUUCGGAUCGUAAAACUCUGUUAUUAGGGAAGAACAUAUGUGUAAGUAACUGUGCACAUCUUGACGGUACCUAAUCAGAAAGCCACGGCUAACUACGUG